rnacentral:rRNA from 1 species
CGUAGGUGGCGAGCGUUGUCCGGAAUUACUGGGUGUAAAGGGCGUGUAGGCGGGGAUGUAAGUCAGAUGUGAAAUUCCCAGGCUCAACUUGGGCGCUGCAUCUGAAACUAUAUCUCUUGAGUGCUGGAGAGGAAAGCGGAAUUCCUAGUGUAGCGGUGAAAUGCGUAGAUAUUAGGAGGAACACCAGUGGCGAAGGCGGCUUUCUGGACAGUAACUGACGCUGAGGCGCGAAAGCGUGGGGAGCAAACAGGAUUAGAUACCCUGGUAGUCCACGCUGCAAACGAUGGAUACUAGGUGUAGGAGGUAUCGACCCCUUCUGUGCCGGAGUUAACACAAUAAGUAUCCCACCUGGGGAGUACGGCCGCAAGGUUG